UCGGGAAUAUUGGACAAUGGAGGAAACUCUGAUCCAGUGACGCCGCGUGAAGGAAGAAGGUCUUCGGAUUGUAAACUUAUUUUGUCAGGGAAGAAAAAAAUGACGGUACCUGAAGAAAAAGCACCGGCCAACUACGUGCCAGCAGCCGCGGUAAUACGUAGGGUGCAAGCGUUAUCCGGAUUUACUGGGUAUAAAGGGCGAGUAGACGGUUAUCUAAGUCAGAUGUGAAAUUCCAGUGCUCAACAUUGGAACUGCAUCUGAAACUAGACUACUAGAGUGCAGGAGAGGAAAAUGGAAUUCCUAGUGUAGCGGUGAAAUGCGUAGAUAUUAGGAGGAACACCAGUGGCGAAGGCGAUUUUCUGGACUGUAACUGACGUUGAGGAGCGAAAGUGUGGGGAGCAAACA
rnacentral:rRNA from 1 species